AGAGUUUGAUCCUGGCUCAGGAUGAACGCUAGCGGGAGGCUUAACACAUGCAAGUCGAGGGGUAACAGAGGUAGCAAUACUUGCUGACGACCGGCGUACGGGUGAGUAACGCGUAUGCAACCUGCCCUAUACAGGAGGAUAGCCCGAAGAAAUUCGGAUUAAUACUCCAUGCAGCAUAUUUUUCGCAUGAUAAAUAUGUUAAAGAUUUAUCGGUAUAGGAUGGGCAUGCGUCCCAUUAGUUAGUUGGUGAGGUAAUGGCUCACCAAGGCUUCGAUGGGUAUGGGGUCUAAAAGGAUGGUCCCACACACUGGCACUGAGACACGGGCCAGACUCCUACGGGAGGCAGCAGUGAGGAAUAUUGGACAAUGGAUGGAAAUCUGAUCCAGCCAUGCCGCGUGCAGGAAGACGGCCUUAUGGGUUGUAAACUGCUUUUAUACGGGAGCAAUAAGGGUUACGAGUAAUCCGAUGAGAGUACUGUAUGAAUAAGGAUCGGCUAACUCCGUGCCAGCAGCCGCGGUAAUACGGAGGAUCCGAGCGUUAUCCGGAAUUAUUGGGUUUAAAGGGUGCGUAGGCGGCCAUUUAAGUCAGCGGUGAAAUUUUGCAGCUUAACUGUAACAGUGCCGUUGAUACUGUUUGGCUAGGAUUUGGUUGUAGUGUGCGGAAUGUGUGGUGUAGCGGUGAAAUGCUUAGAUAUCACACAGAACACCGAUUGCGAAGGCAGCACACUAAGUCAUUAUUGACGCUGAGGCACGAAAGUGUGGGGAUCAAACAGGAUUAGAUACCCUGGUAGUCCACACUGUAAACGAUGAUAACUCGCUGUCGGCGAUACACAGUCGGUGGCCAAGCGAAAGCAUUAAGUUAUCCACCUGGGGAGUACGACCGCAAGGUUGAAACUCAAAGGAAUUGACGGGGGCCCGCACAAGCAGUGGAGUAUGUGGUUUAAUUCGAAGCAACGCGAAGAACCUUACCAAGGCUUGACAUAAUACUGAAUAUUCUAGAGAUAGGAUAGGCCUUCGGGACAGUAUUACAGGUGGUGCAUGGUUGUCGUCAGCUCGUGUCGUGAGAUGUUGGGUUAAGUCCCGUAACGAGCGCAACCCCUGUUAUUAGUUGCCAUCAGGUUAUGCUGGGCACUCUAAUGAGACAAUCGGUGAUAAACCGGGGGAAGGUGGGGACGACGUCAAAUCAUCAUGCCCCUUAUGUCUUGGGCUACACACGUACUACAAUGGCUAUUACAACAGGUAGCGAAGGAGUAAUCCGGAGCCAAUCCCCAAAGAUAGUCCCAGUUCGGAUUGUGGGCUGCAACUCGCCCAUAUAAAGUCGGAAUUGCUAGUAAUUGCAGGUCAGCAUACUGCAGUGAAUACGUUCCCGGGUCUUGUACACACCGCCCGUCAAG
rnacentral:rRNA from 1 species